ensembl:lncRNA
GUUAAAUUAACAACAGUAAAAUGUUUUCAUGUUGUUACCUUUCAAAUAGUUGUGUUGUAUUAACAUGCCUCAUGUUUUCAGGGGAAACAUGAAAAUAGGUAAACAGAUAGGAAUUUGCAUUUCAUUGUUCAUGCAUUUUUUCCCUCAUAAAAAUAGUUUCCAAAAAAAAGUGACGUGUUGUCUGUUAGGCGAUCCUGAUCAGUCUCAGGAUACUUAACUCGAAAAUACUCAAAAACACUCAAAAAUAAUUCAUGACGCUUAGCAGCAUUUUCACUCAUCCCCAAAGGUCUUUGUAAUGGUCAAAAUGUUCAAGUCACAAAAGAGAGAGAAAGUUGGUUUUCAAUAUUGGGAAUUUUUAAAGUUUAAGUCCAAAAAUAUCUCUUACUGGCUUCAACAUCUUAGAGUUUUUCGCCUCCCUGACUCUCGUCCUUUAAAGGAGUGAGUCUAAAGAAUGGGGACAUGAGGCCACUAUUUCUUCCAGCCCUGCUUUCGCUCCUCCUGCGCAGAUGCCCCUGUGUCGCUUUGCAGAGCACCACCGCAAGCCUCUCCCGCACCCAGCUCUGCUGUUUCUGCUUUCCGCAGCACGUCCCACCACGUCUUUCUCAAUCCCAUCACAAUCCUCAGCGGCACAGACGCCGCAGAGAACUGCUCCCCACCACGCGAGGUGAGCCGGCAGUGCUCCCCGCUCGCACUUGCCUGCGUCACGGGCCACGGAGAGAAGGCCACAGACCCACCUGGGGAAGCAGAUGCUGAGUGUUGUCUGUCACGAGCUCUGCUAAAACACUUUUGCCCAGAUCUUUCAUGAGAAUGGUUGGCACCAAAGGGCCGUGGCAAAGAACCUCUUGUUGAGGACCCAAACUCCCAAAUGCAGAAAAAUUAGCCCCAUGCUCUGAUGGGGUGAGCUCACUGUCCCCCACAAGGUACUGAGAAGGCCUUGCAUCUCCUCAAGUUCCAGCAAAGCUAAAUCCUUGGAAUGGCAGACCACUAGUUACCUGUAGAGUAGGAGGACACUGAUUGUUUUGAGGGGAAAAAACCCUUUCUUGUAAGAAUUCAUCAUUCAUAAGGUAAAUUGAAUGGAACCUUUUUCAGCCAUGCAGCUAUGAUAGCCUCUCCCCCCGGAAAAUGAUGCUUAUGAAUGAUGUCUGUGACAACUGGGUUGACCUACUGUCCCAGGUCUCAAGGAAACCAGAGAGUUCACGUAUCUAACCGUGGAGGUACCAGAUAUUGAGGAUAACUUGGCCAUUUACAGGCCAACUGUCUCAUAUUCGGAAUGAGAAACCAAGGGCCUUUUAGGUCCCCACACAGGGGAGUGGGGAUCGGUGGCUGCAGGUCUGCCUUUCUAAGCACCUGAGGACCCAGGAUGUGUUUCCUUUUGAUUUUUUAAACUUUCCUCUUAGUCAUCAUAGUUAAUUAUCUGAAUGGAUAUUCAGGGGUGUAAUUUUUUUUUUCCAAAUUAACAGAACAGAUAUCAGCUCGUUUUCUUUUAAACAUUAAAUGUAUAAAGUCCACCUCGUACACCAGUUAGACAUCCUUAAGGGGACAGUUAAGGCUAACAGGCCAGUCUCGGCCCCUGGAGAUGGCAGUUCGGAACCAUCUUCUUAUAAUGUCUGGUUUGGUUUUGUUUCUUGAGAAGAAAUUUUUUUUAACUUUAGCUCCCCAUUCAGGCAGCAGAGGCUUCCCCGAGCGACAGCAGUGCCCUUCCCUGGCCGGAGACGAAAACUAAAAGCCUGUGAGCCUGUAAAGGAUUUUGAGCAUUCCUUUCAGUUUUUAUAUAUUUUUAAUGUAAAACCCAUAAAUGAACUUGACGUGAUAUUCAUGACCCAUUGCAGAAAUUCGCUUGCUCUUUUUGCAUUUAUGUGUUGAAUAAAGGCUUCUCUUGUUUGUCCCGGAGCCCCAGUAGAAGCUUAAUUCCUCUGGGCUGCUGCGUGAGCGCCCGCGGAUGUCCUGGAAAAUGGCAGCACCGUUAGCUGAGUUGGUCCCUUAGGGAGACGUGUGCUAAAGACGUGUGCGAAAAAUGUCAGGAAAGCUGAAUUUUAUGUUCAAGCCAACAAGCGUUUGAGAGGGUCUUGUAUGCCUCCGAUUUUGACAUUUUUUCUUUUUUCCUGAGUACCAACUCUGUGUUUGAUUCCUGGGGUGGCAG